rnacentral:rRNA from 1 species
UACGUAGGGGGCAAGCGUUGUCCGGAUUUAUUGGGUUUAAAGGGUGCGUAGGCGGUCUAUUAAGUCAGCGGUGAAAUACUCCAGCUUAACUGGAGGGGUGCCAUUGAUACUGAUGGACUUGAGUCAAGUCGAGGUAGGCGGAAUUGACGGUGUAGCGGUGAAAUGCUUAGAUAUCGUCAAGAACACCAAUAGUGAAGACAGCUUACUGGGCUUAAACUGACGCUGAGGCACGAAAGUGUGGGGAGCAAACAGG